GAAGGGAGCUUGCUCCCGGAUGUUAGCGGCGGACGGGUGAGUAACACGUGGGUAACCUGCCUGUAAGACUGGGAUAACUCCGGGAAACCGGAGCUAAUACCGGAUAAUUCCUUGCACCGCAUGGUUCAAGGAUGAAAGACGGUUUCGGCUGUCACUUACAGAUGGACCCGCGGCGCAUUAGCUAGUUGGUGAGGUAACGGCUCACCAAGGCGACGAUGCGUAGCCGACCUGAGAGGGUGAUCGGCCACACUGGGACUGAGACACGGCCCAGACUCCUACGGGAGGCAGCAGUAGGGAAUCUUCCGCAAUGGACGAAAGUCUGACGGAGCAACGCCGCGUGAGUGAUGAAGGUUUUCGGAUCGUAAAACUCUGUUGUUAGGGAAGAACAAGUGCCAGAGUAACUGCUUGCACCUUGACGGUACCUAACCAGAAAGCCACGGCUAACUACGUGCCAGCAGCCGCGGUAAUACGUAGGUGGCAAGCGUUGUCCGGAAUUAUUGGGCGUAAAGGGCUCGCAGGCGGUUCCUU
rnacentral:rRNA from 1 species